UUGUCCUGUUGUCUUUUUUCGAGAUGAUCCAAAAUCCGUAAUUUUACGGAUUAACUUAAACACUAAUAUUAUAUUCUCCAUCAGUUUUAAAAAAAAGCAUAUUCUAAGAAAAAAAUUGUUUCAAAAAGAUAUUCCUAACCGUUUCCAAAAGUAAGAUUUUUUAGGUUUUUUUUUGUUUCACAAAGAUAGAUUUUCUAUAUUAUUAAAGUAUUUUUUUAUAUUUUUGAGGAACAUUAAUUGAGAAUAUUUGAAUUGAUUAAAUUUCAUUGGUGGAAAUUUAUUGGAAAGUGUAUAAUAAUGUAAAAAGCAAAUUAAAUUAUAAACAUU
rnacentral:lncRNA from 1 species